rnacentral:lncRNA from 1 species
AUGAUUAUAAUGGCCUCUCGAGGGCGCGAGAGUGCCAACAGCACACUAUGCCCGCCACGGGCCGCCCCCCCAGCCAGUGCUUCUAACCUCGCGGGGGCGGGGCCCAGGUCAAAGUGCACCCAACACUGUGUCGCUCGCCCUGUCUCAGGACAGUGCAGAGUCACAAGCAAUGAUUAUAAUGGCCUCUCGAGGGCGCGAGAGUGCCAACAACACACAAUGCCUGCCACGGGCCGCCCCCCAGCCGGUGCUUAUAACCUCGCGGGGGCGGGGCCCCGGUCAAAACAAGCCUUCAGUGGCUACAGUAGCCUUAGAGCUAACGCGUCCGCUGUGUCAUUUUCUGGACGCGUGGAAGGCUAUCCCAGGCAUUUCACCGUGGGUACUGGGAAUUAUUCAGCAAGGAUAUUCUCUUCAGUUCAAACGCAGACCUCCCCGAUUCAACGGCGUGGUCCCGUCACUGACUUUGCCCCACAACCUUUCAAUUCUGAGACAGGAAGUUUUCAGUCUGCUCGAGAAAGGAGCGAUAGAGCGUGUCCCUCCAAGCGAGCAGAAAAGCGGUUUUUACAGCCGCUACUUCGUGGUGCCAAAGAAGGGUGGAGGACUCCGUCCUAUUCUGGAUCUGAGACCCAUCAACCGAGCACUUCACAAACGCGCAUUCAGGAUGACAACACUAAAACAGAUCUUGAUGCAGGUACGACCCGGGGACUGGUUCGCCUCAGUGGAUCUAAAAGAUGCGUACUUUCAUAUUCAAAUAGCGACGCACCACAGACGCUUCCUCAGGUUUGCUUUCGAAGGCACGGCUUAUCAGUAUUCGGUGCUUCCGUUUGGCCUGGCCCUGGCUCCCCGCACGUUUUCAAAGUAUGUGGACGCAGCGCUUUCUCCCCUCAGAUCGAGCGGAAUGCGCAUCUUGAAUUAUCUGGACGACUGGCUGAUUUUGGCCCACUCAAGAGAUGUGCUAAUCAGUCACGUGGAAACGCUGCUCCGCCAUACGCUGGGACUGUGUGUAAAUAUGCAGAAGAGCGUGCUUUUACCGAGUCUGACUAUAACAUAUCUGGGAGUAUGUUUGGACUCGAUGGCGAUGCGAGCCCAUCUUUCUCGGGAGCGCAUGGAGACAAUUUCAUCGACUCUGUGCCGUUUCAGACCGGGCAGGUCGGUUUCACUGAGGGAUUUUCAGAGGCUUCUGGGUCUGAUGGCGGCAGCUUCUUCAGUGUGCCAUCUGGGUCUGUUACAUAUGCGACCACUACAGCUUUGGCUAAAAGCUCGAGUUCCGCCGAGGGCGUGGUCGUCGAGCCACAAACGAAUUACGGUCACUCACAGUUGCGUCAGCACUCUGAGACCGUGGAACAGCACAGAUAUGUUCAGCGCAGGAGUUCCUUUGGGUUUAGUGACUCAGCGCACCGUGGUCUCGACGGACGCGUCAACUUCAGGCUGGGGAGCAGUGUGCCUGGGCGUACCUGCCUCAGGCCUGUGGUCGGAGUCACAGAGGACGUGGCACAUAAACCGUUUAGAAUUGGAAGCGGUUUUCCUCGCCCUGCAAGCUUUUCGGUCGAAGCUGGAGCGGCGACAUGUACUGAUUCGAACCGACAACACGUCUGUGGUCUCGUACAUAAAUCGCCAGGGUGGCGUGCGGUCCAGAGCUCUAUUCAAUCGAGCAGCGAGUCUCUUGUUGUGGGCGGACCUACACUUUCUCUCCAUAAGAGCGGCGCACAUCCCCGGUAUCCUGAACCGCGGAGCAGACAUGCUUUCGAGGAACGGGAUUCCUCAAGGAGAGUGGAGGCUAUACCCAGGAUCAGUUCAAAUGAUUUGGGAUCGAUUCGGCAGGGCGGAAGUGGAUUUAUUCGCCACAAGCGAGAACACGCACUGUCAGACGUUUUUCUCGCUAUCUCACUCCCCUCUACCGGGAGAUGCUCUGACAUCGCGUUGGCCGGAGGCCAGCCUUUACGCGUUUCCUCCGGUGAAGAUUCUGCCUUUGGUUUUAUGCAAAAUCAGGGAGGAGAGAGCGUCAGUUAUACUCGUGGCCCCGAACUGGCCGAAUCAGCCCUGGUUCGCGGAUCUGAGAGAGUUAGUGAUAGCUCCCCCAUGGCAAAUCCCCCUCAGGAAGGACCUGCUGUCUCAAGCGAACGGCACGAUAUGGCACCCCAGCCCCGAGCUGUGGAACCUUCAUGUGUGGCCGCUGCGGGGACCUUAAACGAGCGGGACGCCCUGCAUUCACGGGUGUUGAGUACGCUUACGGAGGCUCGCGUUCCAUCUACGAGACGCCUCUACGCUCUGAAGUGGGGAGUUUUCAAAAAAUGGUGUGAGAACAUCUAA